rnacentral:rRNA from 1 species
GACGAACGCUGGCGGCGUGCUUAACACAUGCAAGUCGAACGGAAAGGCCCUGCUUUUGGGGGGUGCUCGAGUGGCGAACGGGUGAGUAACCCGUGAGUACCCUGCACUUGACGUUGAGAUAAAUUCAGGAAACUGGGGCUCAUACCGGGUAGGAGCUCUUGCUGCAUGGUGGGGGUUGGAAAGAUUCGGUGGUUGGGGGUGGACUCGCCGCUUAUCCGCUUGUUGGUGGGGUGGUGUCUUAGCAAGGUUUGGACGGGUGGCCGGCCUGGGAGGCGGACAGGCCCAGUUAGAACUGAGAUACGACCCAGACCCGAACGGGAGGCAGCAGUGGAGAAGAGUACCUAAUGGGCGGAAGCCUGAUGCAGCAACGCCGCGUGCGGUAUGACGGGCUGCGGGUUGUGAACCAAUGUCGCCUGUGAUGAAGAGAGAGUGACGGUAAUGGGUAAAGAAGCCCCGGCUAACUACGUG